AAUUUAAAAGCAUUAAGAUUUAAGUGUGGCUGACUGCCACGGUUACUACUUGAGACCGUCAUUACUAGACUGAAUGAAGAGACGAACAUAGAAAUGAUUCAACUGGUUCAUGGUUCAUACUGGGGGAACAAGGUCCAUGGUUGGGAUCCAUGGGUCCCUCCAGUCUCCUGUUCAACGGUCGUACACACCUUGGGAGCACCCACUCGGUUUGUUCAUCUUCUGCAAAGAUGUCAUUCUACAGUCAUUACCUUCCAGCCUAUUUGUUUCUGCAGAAUCUACAUAUACUGUUGUAUCUACCUCAAAAUGCAAACACCAAUGAAGUAAUUCAUCAGAAGACUUGAUAUGAAUAAAGAAUGGAACAGUAAAGUUGAAGAUAAAAAACAUAGAAAUUGAAUAACAAAUACAAGUAAGAAACAAGAAGAGUGAUAAAUAGCAGAACAUGGCAUCCAAGAGCUGAAGGACAGCUCUGGAUGCCUAACUUGAACGGAUUCAUGAAAGAGAACAAGGAUGAUAAAUACUUAAAAACAAAAUGAAUGAGAAUUUUCCAAAAGAAGUGAAGGCAAUCAAAUCGUAAAUCCAAGAAACAUUUCUAGAGAUAUAGGGGCUACGUAAACAAACUAAAAAAAAGGUAAAAAAUUAUAUGAAGACAAACAUAGUUGUGUUGUAUGUAUUAUAUAGUUAAAUAUACGUUAUACACAGGCACGAAGAAAAGAAGUACAGGAAACCUGUCCUCAAGAACUAUUUAACUGUAUACUGGAAAUUUUAACCAGUGUACUAAAGUAAGAAAAAUAAACAAAAGGCAUACAAAUUGGAUACGAAGAAAUAAAACUCUAUUUGAUUCGUGGAUGGUCUAUGCACAGUAUUCCAUUAUGUACAAAAUAAUUAAAAUUAUUAGCAGUGAAGCUGCUAGAAAUAAAUUGUGAGUACAAAAUAAUUAAAAUUAUUAAAAGUGAAGCUACUAGAAAUAAAUUGUGAGUUUUGUAAUUUCACACUAUGCACUAUAACACUAUAAUGUUAAUAUACAGAAUUAUUUUUUAUAUAUAAUUGUUGCAGGAAAAACCCAGACCUGUGUAGAAGAACAUCCCUCUGCCAAAGAGAUAGUGCUGAAAUAACAAAGAAGGACUCAGACAAGUCCAGCUUCAUGAGAAGAUGAG
rnacentral:lncRNA from 1 species